rnacentral:rRNA from 1 species
GACGAACGCUGGCGGCGUGCUUAACACAUGCGAGUCGAACGGUGAAGGGGUCUGCUUUUGUGGGCCCUGGAUGAGUGGCGAACGGGUGAGUAACACGUGAGUAACCUGCCCCCUUCUUCUGGAUAACCGCAUGAAAGUGUGGCUAAUACGGGAUAUUCUGGGUCUGUCGCAUGAUGGGUCUGGGAAAGAUUGCGCCUUUGGGUGUUUUUGGUGGGGGAUGGGCUCGCGGCCUAUCAGCUUGUUGGUGGGGUGAUGGCCUACCAAGGCGGUGACGGGUAGCCGGCCGGAGAGGGUGGACGGUCACACUGGGACUGAGACACGGCCCAGACUCCUACGGGAGGCAGCAGUGGGGAAUAUUGCACAAUGGGCGCAAGCCUGAUGCAGCGACGCCGCGUGAGGGAUGGAGGCCUUCGGGUUGUAAACCUCUUUCGCCAGUGAAGCAGGCCUGCUCCUUGUGGGUGGGUUGACGGUAGCUGGAUAAGAAGCGCCGGCUAACUACGUG